GGUAAUUUGCGAGAACCCAGCCUGUGUGGCAAGAAUGGUUCCUGUGCUGUCCUCUGUGCUGAGCCACCGAGCCCUUCCAGAGUUCUGUGCAGGUAGCCCUGUGCGGCCGACCUCAGCAUGGGGCUCUCAUUCUGGUGCCGCAGGAGGGAGCAAGGCAUCCAGAAAAGUAAACCUUUCCUCAGAGAUGUGAGAGGGAAACUGGGGUAUCUCCCAAAAAUGGGGGAAGCAAGAUGCCUCCGGCUAUUCCAUCCCAUCCUGGGCCCACCUAGCCUUCACCUAGGAUGCCACCGUGGCACACAGGAGGAGCCCCAGCAACUUGCUCCUGUAAUUACGGCACCCACACAUAGAAACACAUGGAUGCUGCUUCCCAAGCAUGAGUUCCCGCUGCCGCACGCUGACACCGACCCUCGUGCACACUCACACAUGUCUCUCGCUCACCGGGCGAUGUUAACAUCUCAUUAUCUUUGUUACUGUAAUUACAUUAUCCGCUGCUUUAUGCAGAAUUAUCCUCGGAGGACUAA
rnacentral:lncRNA from 1 species